GACGAACGCUGGCGGCGUGCUUAACACAUGCAAGUCGAACGAAGUGGCGAACGGGUGAGUAACGCGUAAUCAACCUGCCCUUCAGUGGGGGAUAACAGUUGGAAACGACUGCUAAUACCGCAUACUGAAGGAGGGUAUUGCGGCUGGUUAGGUAGUUGGAGGGGUAACGGCCCACCAAGGCGAGGCUCGAUAGCCGGUCUUAGAGGGUUACUGGCCACAUUGGGACUGAGACACGGCCCAGACUCCUACGGGAGGCAGCAGUGGGGAAUCUUCCGCAAUGGACGAAAGUCUGACGGAGCAACGCCGCGUGAGUGAUGACGGCCUUCGGGUUGUAAAGCUCUGUUAAUCGGGACGCGGUACCGGAAUAGAAAGCCACGGCUAACUACGUGCCAGCCGCCGCGGUAAUAC
rnacentral:rRNA from 1 species